rnacentral:lncRNA from 1 species
AAGUUUGAUAUCAACAUAAUAAUACUACCAAACUCUGACAAUAUUUAUUUCCUCAGUGAACUAUAGGUUCCACAGUACUUGACACAAAGGAAGGAGGUGGAACAUGACAGUAUUAGAUAAUAUUUUCCAGGAGGUUUUUUGUCGUUAAGUAUUUAUGGUUUCCAACAUUAAUCUUCCGAGGUAGAGAAUAUUACAAUACAAGAGACAGAUAAGUUAGUAAAUAAGUCACUCAAGAAGAUUCCUGCCACAGAAAUACUGGGAAACAAAUGGUGGUGAGCAGCUAAGGCCCUGUUUAUAAAGUGAAGUGUCUGUGUAUUUUUACCAGGGAAUAACAGUCACUGACUUGAAGAAAUUCUCGUUGCCUCAUGUUUUAGUCCCUCAGAAAGUGUGCUUUUAGUAAGGGAAAAAGACAAAUAUAGAAAAUAACUGCUUUACUUAUCAACGAAUGCAUCUUCAGAAAAUGAUGAAUAAUUAUUAUAAAAAAGCACUCUAAUGCCAGUAAGUGACAGUGUUGUGACCAUUUUGUGAGAUUCAGUGGUAAACAAAUUUCUUUGACAAUAUGUGCUACUUUUUCCUAAAGGUUCAUCUAAAACAUAGAUCAGCUGUUCAGAUAUCAAUUUUCUGUUAAGGUUUGGAAAUGGAACUUACAUGAAAAGUCUUGAUUUUCACUACAGAGCUGAGGUAAAAAAAGCGUGAGCCACGGUGACUGCAGAAGAGCAUCCAGAUUUCGCAUCACUAAAUCUAAAAAAAAAAAACUUGGUUGGAAAGGAGCAGCAGAUGGAUAACAUUUGGGACAUUCUGUCAAUUCAUCUGUUAAUAAGUGAGACACUCACACUGG